CAAUGCAUCUGCAGUGCAAACA
rnacentral:miRNA from 9 species